AUGAGCCGCCGUCCUCGGCGGGGCCGUACCAACCAAGGGAGAACGGCAGGCACGCGACGACAAUUUCAUAAGCAGAUCUUCCCCUCCACACCAAUCACGAGUUCGAUUCGGAUCCCUCUGUUGUUUCCCUUUCCUCCCGAACCUUUUCCUCUAAAUGAUAAAAAAAAUGGUACACUCGAAUUGUAUUAUUUAAGUGCUUAUUGCUCGCCAAAAAUCCUACUCCUACAAUUGGUAGGUCACCGGGUUAUUCAAAUAUGUCGUGUUUUCUGUGCUUUUCCAUGCACGCCGCGGUGCCAGAUGGUGGCUUGA
rnacentral:rRNA from 1 species